AUGAGUGUGCCGUCCCUCAAGAGCAAGAGAUACGUUUUGAUAUUUGUGGACGAUUUUUCAAGGUACUGUGUCCUCUUCCUCUUGAGGAAGAAGACAGAGAUACGUUACCCUUUCAAGAGGUAUGUAGGCACUGCGAGGAAUAAAUUUAACAGGAACCCCAAGGCGUUUCAGAUAGACAAUAGAGACGAAUACCUCUGGCCCCAUAUAAAGGCCGAUCUGGAGGAAGAAGGCAUUUUGUGCGAGGAGGGUGUGGCAGACGCUCCUGAGCAGAGCAGAAUGGCCAGGUGGGGCCUGAGAUCCCUCUUGGAGAUGACCAAAUGCAUGCUUGCCGAUGCAGAGCUGCCCGACAAAUUUUGGGGCGAGGCAAUCAUGACUGCAGCAUAUCUCCUGAACAGAUUGCCAGCCGAAGGCUCUGGAAAAACACCGUUUGAAUUAUGGUAUGGCAUGCUUCCGCGUGUCAAACACCUCCGAAUCUUUGGGAGCCCGGCUUAUACCGGGCUAUGGGAUAGGCACAGCCGUGAGUCUCAAGCAAAACAAUUGAUUUUCCUUGGCUACAGCCACAUGAAACGCUAUAUUAUAAGGGAUUUAAAAACAGGGAGCAACUGCUCAACUGAUAUGAAUUAUUUUGUCAGGGAGCGGGGCACUGGCAAGCGAGGCACUGUGUUAGAUGCCUUUGGAGGGGAAAACCACUAUCCUGAGUUUCCCCAAAACACAGCAGCCUCAGCGCCUGGACAGUCUGAGUCAAUCAGAGUGCAGGAAGAUGAUGGCACAGAGGAUGACUGCCAUACACCAGGAGAAGGGGACAGAGAUGGAAAUGUUGAAGCUGUUGGACUGGAAAAGGCAUUGGCACCCCAAGAGGCUCCAGAGCCAGCCCUCAGGCACAUGUCGCAGCUCGACGACGGGGCCUCGCCUCAUCUCGGCGAUUCCACAGACCCAUUGCCGAGGGAGGAGCCGAAAACUUGGGAAGAAGUGGAACAGAUGCCGGGAGCAGAAGGCACCAGGUGGAGAGAAUCUGCACGGAAAGAGGUAGAAGCACUCCACAAGAAGGAGGUGUGGACCCUGACGAAACUGCCCCCGGGCCAGACAGCCAUUAAGUGCAAGUGGCUCUUCACAGUGAAGCCGGGUGGAGACCAAGGAGCGCAUGGCUACCAGGCCAGAUUGGUCGCCGAGGGGUUCCUCUCGAGACACGGAGAGGACUUGGCUCCUGUCGUCCAGCAAAGCACCCUCCGGAUGCUCCUGAGCGUUGCUACCUCCAAACAGAUGCAGGUCAAGCGCCUAGAGGUCAAGUCUGCCUCUGUGCAAGGAGAGAUUGCAGAGGGUUUAUACAUGGAACAGCCACCAGGUUUCCUUAACCAGGAACAUCCCGAUUUUGUCUGCAAACUAGAGAAAGACCUGCAUGGGCUCAAUCCAGCUGCUCAGGCCUGGAAGGAGAGAUUUCAGCAGGUACUGCUGCAAGAAGGUUUCAAGCAGGAUCAUGGGGAUCCGUGCUUGUACAGCCGAAGCCAAAACAGAUCUUUAUCGUUUAUCCUCACCUAUGGGGAUGACCUUGUGGUGGCGACACAGAAGGAGCAGGAGUACAAGGAGAUUGUGCAGCAUCUUAACAAAGAGAUGGGAAUCCAAGAGUUAGGGGAUGCAACAUGCUAUCUGGAGGCUCACAUGGAAAAGGAGGGUGUUUGCUAA
ensembl:lncRNA